UACGUGGGGUGCAAGCGUUAAUCGGAAUUACUGGGCGUAAAGCGUGCGCAGGCGGCUUUGCAAGACAGAUGUGAAAUCCCCGGGCUUAACCUGGGAACUGCAUUUGUGACUGCAUGGCUGGAGUGCGGCAGAGGGGGAUGGAAUUCCGCGUGUAGCAGUGAAAUGCGUAGAUAUGCGGAGGAACACCGAUGGCGAAGGCAAUCCCCUGGGCCUGCACUGACGCUCAUGCACGAAAGCGUGGGGAGCAAACAGG
rnacentral:rRNA from 1 species